UACAGAGGGUGCGAGCGUUAAUCGGAAUUACUGGGCGUAAAGCGUGCGUAGGUUGAUAGAUGUGUUGGCUGUUAAAUCCCCGAGCUUAACUUGGGAAAGUCGGCCAAAACUGUCUGUCUAGAGUAUAGUAGAGGAGAGUGGAAUUUCCGGUGUAGCGGUGAAAUGCGUAGAUAUCGGAAGGAACAUCAGUGGCGAAGGCGACUCUCUGGACUAAUACUGACACUGAGGCACGAAAGCGUGGGGAGCAAACAGG
rnacentral:rRNA from 1 species